CAAAUACUCCAGGUGAGAUAUAUAACUUAAGAAGCAGCGAUCUCCUCAUUACACAGAGUCCCGUUGUAUCAAACACCCGGUGUGCAAUUGCAACGGGAGAUCAUUUCCUAUCUCACUCGGAUCUACAUUCUAAUUCGUUACAAUGCCUCUCAGACUUGAAAUCAAGAGAAAACUUGCUCAGAGGUCUGAAAGAGUUAAAUCUGUCGAUCUACAUCCAACUGAGCCAUGGAUUCUCGCGAGUUUGUACUCUGGCACUGUUUGCAUAUGGAAUUACCAGUCUCAGACUAUGUCAAAAUCAUUCGAGGUGACAGAGUUACCAGUUAGAUCGGCCAAGUUUAUACCACGCAAGCAGUGGGUUGUUGCUGGUGCAGAUGAUAUGUAUAUUCGUGUAUACAAUUACAAUACGAUGGACAAGGUCAAAGUGUUUGAGGCGCAUACUGACUAUAUUAGGUGUGUUGCUGUCCAUCCAACACUUCCUUAUGUGCUCUCUUCAGCUGAUGACAUGCUUAUAAAGCUCUGGGACUGGGACAAGGGAUGGGUGUGCACUCAAAUUUUUGAGGGUCAUUCACAUUACGUCAUGCAAGUUACAUUUAAUCCGAAAGACACCAAUACUUUUGCAAGUGCUUCCCUUGAUCGUACCAUAAAAAUUUGGAAUCUUGGAUCUCCUGAUCCAAAUUUCACACUGGAUGCCCAUCUAAAAGGUGUCAAUUGUGUAGAUUAUUUCACUGGUGGAGAUAAGCCUUAUCUCAUCACGGGUUCUGAUGAUCACACUGCUAAGGUGUGGGAUUACCAAACCAAGAGUUGUGUUCAGACGCUAGAAGGCCAUACACACAAUGUUUCUGCUGUUUGUUUUCAUCCUGAACUUCCCAUAAUAAUUACAGGUUCAGAGGAUGGUACUGUCCGUAUAUGGCACUCAACCACUUAUAGGCUCGAGAACACCCUAAAUUAUGGUCUUGAAAGAGUUUGGGCCGUUGGAUACAUGAAAAGCUCACGAAGGGUUGUAAUUGGUUAUGAUGAAGGGACCAUUAUGGUGAAAAUUGGACGAGAGGAACCUGUAGCUAGUAUGGAUAGCAGCGGAAAAGUUAUUUGGGCAAAACAUAACGAGAUCCAAACUGUUAACAUUAGAAGCGUGGGAUCAGAGUAUGAGGUUUCUGAUGGAGAAAGAUUGCCUCUGGCAGUCAAGGAGUUGGGCACCUGUGAUCUAUAUCCACAAAGCUUGAAGCAUAAUCCCAAUGGGCGGUUUGUUGUUGCAUGUGGAGAUGGUGAAUACAUCAUAUAUACAGCACUGGCAUGGAGAAAUAGAUCAUUUGGUUCAGCACUGGAGAUUGUUUGGUCAACUGAUGGAGAAUAUGCUGUUAGGGAAAGUACUUCGAGAAUCAAAAUAUUUAGCAAAAAUUUCCAGGAAAAGAAAAGUAUCCGGCCAACAUUUUCUGCUGAGCGCAUAUAUGGUGGAACCUUAUUGGCAAUGUGUUCAAACGAUUUUAUCUGUUUUUAUGAUUGGUCCGAGUGCAGGUUGAUUCGAAGAAUUGAUGUCACGGUCAAAAAUCUUUACUGGGCUGAUAGUGGCGACCUGGUGGCUAUUGCCAGUGAUACAUCAUUCUACAUGCUGAAGUUUAAUAGAGAUGUAGUUUCGGCUCAUCUGGAUAGUGGAAGAUCAGCGGACGAAGAAGGUGUAGAAGAUGCCUUUGAGCUCCUAUACGAGAUAAAUGAACGAGUCAGGACAGGAGUUUGGGUUGGGGAUUGUUUCAUUUAUAACAACUCCUCUUGGAGGCUAAAUUACUGUGUCGGCGGAGAGGUAACGACAAUGUAUCAUUUGGACCGGCCUAUGUAUCUGCUUGGAUAUCUUGCAAAUCAAAGUAGAGUGUAUCUUAUCGAUAAAGAGUUCAAUGUAAUUGGAUAUACGUUGCUCCUUAGCUUGAUUGAGUACAAGACACUAGUGAUGCGUGGUGAACUGGAACAAGCUAAUCAGGUUCUACCUUCGAUACCAAAAGAGCAACUUAAUAGUGUGGCUCGUUUCUUGGAAUCACGAGGAAUGAUAGAGGAUGCCCUGGAAGUUGCCACAGAUCCUGACUACAGAUUUGAACUAGCUAUACAGCUGGGCAAACUUGAGAUUGCUAAGGAAAUUGCCGCUGUAGCACAGAGUGAAUCCAAAUGGAAGCAAUUGGGUGAAUUAGCUAUGUCUGCUGGAAUGAUGGAUAUGGCUGAGGAUUGUUUAAGGCAUGCAAAUGACUUGAGUGGCUUAUUGCUACUCUACUCUUCUUUAGGAGAUUCUGAGGAAAUAUCUAAGCUUGCUUUGCUUGCCAAAGAUCUUGGGAAAAACAAUGUUGCAUUUCUUUGUUUAUUCAUGUUGGGUAAGGUGGAAGAGUGUCUACAGCUGUUAAUUGAAAGCAAUCGCAUACCCGAAGCUGCUAUAAUGGCAAGAUCUUAUCUUCCUAGCAAGGUUUCUGAAAUAAUUGCUCUUUGGAGGAAGGAUCUUGUCAAGGUUAAUAAAAAAGCUGCAGAAUCUUUGGCUGAUCCUGAAGAGUAUCCAAAUUUGUUUGAGGAUUGGCAAGUCGCACUUGGUGUUGAAUCAAAAGUUGCAGAGACGAGGAAUAAUUAUCCUCCGGCUGUGGAGUAUAUAAACCACAUCAAUAGAUCAAAUGUCAAUCUUGUGGAGGCAUUCAGAAACAUGCAUGUGGACGAAGAGGAACUACUUGAAAAUGGAGGCUCAGAUGUUGAGAAUCCUGAAAACAAUGUCAAUGAGAUGCAAGAAGAUCUAAAAGAGGGUCAUGAUGAGGCUGUUGUGUUGGAUGCUGACUCUGCAGAUGGUGCAGUACUCGUCAAUGGCAACGAAGCUGAAGAACAGUGGGGUACGAAUAAUGCAGGAAACCCGCCAGCCUAAAAGAAAUUGGUUGGGCCAAUGUGAACCCAAAUUUUGUUGCCGUGCUUACACCACGUCACCAGGAUCAGUGACGAUGCUUGGUUCCAGUUGUAUUCAUUUCUCUCUUGAGGUUAUUUAAAGGUUGUUCUCAAGAGUUGAUUAUGGAACCGAGUGUCACUUCAGCGGUGGUGUGAUUUGUAGCAGAUUGAAUUUUGUCAUCAGAAUACAUACUAUAUAUAUAUGUGCAGCAUCAGUUAUAUGUCCAGUUUAGUUACUGGUAGUUCUUUUACUAUAUAUUUUAAAGCCAAUUUCUUUGGUCAAAUUUAAGAAGCCAGAUUAAAUGCGAGUCACUGAUAUCUAUGAUAUUUAAGAAAAUUUUGUGCGAGAUUAAUCAAAUAUUGUAAAUUGAUAGCAAUUGAUGUUGCUGAUUUCAGUAGACAUUUAGUCAUUUACCA